rnacentral:tRNA from 1 species
GAAAUAGCCCAAGAAUAAGCUUCUAACUUAAUUCCUAAGCAAUAAUUUGUUUCUAUUUCU